rnacentral:rRNA from 1 species
CCUACGGGAGGCAGCAGUGGGGAAUAUUGCACAAUGGGGGAAACCCUGAUGCAGCGACGCAGCGUGCGGGAUGACGGCCUUCGGGUUGUAAACCGCUUUCAGCAGGGAAGAAGCGCAAGUGACGGUACCUGCAGAAGAAGUACCGGCUAACUACGUGCCAGCAGCCGCGGU